rnacentral:tRNA from 1 species
UCCCUGGUGGCUAAGACAGUAAAGAAUCUGCCUGCCAGGCAGGAGACCUGAGUUCAAUCCCUGGUUUGGGAA